UUGCCCAUCUCCAUGUUGUAAAUAUUCUCACAAUAACUAUUUUCAAGCUACCAAACAUUAAAUCAACCAGCUCACAAAAUUUCUGACAACUUAGCACUUGGUUCUCCCAUGGCUAUAGCACGCUACUGGGAGUUCCCUAGUAAAAGCCUUUGGUAACUUUUACAAGGCCGAAACCAAACCAAUUCUUCCUAGAGCCACACUUUUCAAACAUUAGUGUGACUACAAAUCACCUGAGAAUCUUAUUAAAAAUGUAGAUUCUAAUUUAGUAGGUCUGGGCUGGCACCCGAGAUUCUGAUUUCUAACAGGCUCCUAAGCGAUGUUGAUGAUGAUGCUGGUCCAUGGACCACACUUUGAGUAGCAGGGUCUUAGAACAUAUCCUAGAGCAAACUUCACAUUUCUGUCAUUAGUCCCAAACCAGAAACUUUUGAAUAGGCUCUCUUUUCCUAAUACAGAGAAUCAACUUAAGUGGAUCCCCAAAUUUCUGGGUAUGAACUCCAUGACCUCCAUCUUUCAAUAGAGAUACUACAAACAUCAAUAACUUCCUGUCCCACUCACACCUGCUUCUGGUGGAAACUUCCCCCGCCACAUAAAUAAAAUUCCCCAGCCCCAGCUGUUUGGCUCAGUGUAAGCCAUCUGACCCAAGGAAAGUCCAUCCAUACUGUAGCCAGUGAUCUGGCUUGAAAGGAAAAGCUAGGCCAGCGGUUCCUCUCACAAAACUGAACUUGGGAAAAUGAAAGACUGAAAUAUUUAGGUGGGAGAACUCAAGCUGUAAGGUCAUGGAGUAGAUUCAAGGCUGGAGAAGCCUCGAAAGGCAAGCUGAAAUUAUUAGCAAACAGAAAUGAUGCAUGGGUAGUUACAUGAAGCUAGUCAGUUUCAAGAAUAGAAUGGAGUGAGGAUGCUGGGAAAAGCUGAGAUAUCAUGAAGAAGAAAGAGAUCAACCAGCCUCUGAGAGGAAGAUAGCAAAUGCUGCCUCAGUUCCUGUUAGAGUUUCCGUGAAGCCUGCUGUAUCACUGUCCCUCUUUCUGUGUGCUUGGGAGAUCCUAUCUACCAUAUAUAGCCAUGGAAUAACCCCUGUUUUGUUUUGUUUUGUUUUGUUUUUUUGAGCUAGUACCUGUGAAUUUCUAUAUCUUCUAAACAAACCAACAAAGACCUAAUUAAAACCAUGGGACUCUAGUUAUUCUAGUCAUAAUGCAUGAACUGAGAGUUCUCUUCCAGAAUUAGUAGCAUGGAAUCUCAGAGUUUGAGAAGCUUUUGAAGGUCUUCUAGCUCCUGGUGUAUAAACUCUCUCUGUAAUUCUCUGCUUAAAUUUCUGAUGACAACGUCUUGAAUAUUCUAUAAGGAGACUUACCAAGGAUAUACUCCUGAUUGCCCAUGUCUGUCUUAGAAUGUGAUCCAAAAACUGAAAAAAACACUCCAGAGGAAAAAGGAAUAGUUAACUUUUCCUGGAAAAAUUAAUGCAACCUAAAAUUCCAGCAACUUCUUCGCCUGUUCUAAUGGCUUCACUUAGUACUUUGUGAUUCCUUUGCCUUUCCUCGAUACUCUUUCUUUAUAACAAAAAAGCAUACCACAAGUAGCCUGGAUUUUGAACUAAACUAAAAGACAGAAUGUAACCAAAAGCAGCAGGAGAGGAAAAAAGCGGCUGAUGCCAUGCAGUAGCAAAUGUGUCUGGGAACACUCAAAGAGACACUCCCUUAAGUACAACCGGUACAUCCAUCCAGAGCUCGGGAGCCCUUUAGGGCGAUGUGCAGAGCCAGCAGUUAUUGGUGGGUCCUAAAGGCAGAGAAGCACCGAGACUCCAAUUCACCUUUGGUCUGAAAAACACCAGCUGCAUGCAGAGCGCCAUCCAAGAGUAAGACAAGCAAGUAUGAUUAUGUUUUUUACAAUAAUGUUGCCUAAUUAUGAAGUUUGUUAGCUCUAUUUAAUGUUUAACUUUCUUAAAUUUCCAUCGGCCAGGAUUAGCAGGGUUUUUUCCUUGCACAUUUUUUUUUUACAAAAUAUGUAAUUCCAGAUUAUGAAUUGAAAUGACUUACUGUACCCUGUAUCUUAACUUCCUAUUAAUUGAAUUAAUAUGAAAUCCUUGUCUAAUUUGCUGUCUUAUCAAGUUACCUAUGACAAUUUACCGUAUUCCUUAUUCCAUGAGAAUUAAGUGUGUUUCAUAGGUAUAAGAAGGCAUUAUCACAAUGCAUUGCAGAAUCUGAAUAAAUUAUAUUCACUGACUAACACUCCUCUGUCAUUUAUGUUACCUCUUUCAAAUAAUUUAGUAGAUUAGAAGGGAACUAUUUUUACAAAACUAUCUUCAUCAUGUUGCCAUAAAUCCACCUGCU